rnacentral:lncRNA from 1 species
AUCAUGAUUCUAAACUCAUUGCCCUGAUCUAUGGGGUUUAUCAUAAUCAUAUAAAUAUGAUGCAGCAAAUGAUAAAACGUAAUACCUCAUAAAUAAAAAAACUAAUGUCAUGCAAAUAUAUAGGAAGAUAAUAAAAAAAAAUUCCAUUGCAUCCCUAUGUGAUUGACUUGUAGGGCACUAUUCUUUCAAUCUUUCACUUGCACUAAAGCCAAUCACC